rnacentral:rRNA from 1 species
GUCGAGUGCGCGUGCCGUAGCAAUACGGUAUGGCGCACGGCGCACGGGUGCGUAACACGUGGGCAAUCUGCCCUCCGGUGGGGAAUAACCCCGCGAAAGCGGGGCUAAUUCCGCAUAACAUUCCCUGGACUCUGGUUCGGGGAUUCAAAGCAGCAAUGCGCCGGAGGAGGAGCCCGCGCCCGAUUAGCUAGUUGGUGAGGUGACGGCUCACCAAGGCAAUGAUCGGUAGCUGGUCUGAGAGGAUGGCCAGCCACACUGGAACUGAGACACGGUCCAGACUCCUACGGGAGGCAGCAGUGGGGAAUCUUGCGCAAUGGGCGAAAGCCUGACGCAGCGACGCCGCGUGGGGGAUGAAGCUUCUCGGAGUGUAAACCCCUUUCGACCGGGACGAAUGCCCGCAAGGGAGUGACGGUACCGGUAGAAGAAGCCCCGGCUAACUACGUGCCAGCAGCCGCGGUAAGACGUAGGGGGCCAGCGUUGUUCGGAAUUACUGGGUGUAAAGGGUUCGUAGGCGGUGUGGCAAGUCGGGAGUGAAAUUUCUGGGCUUAACUCAGAAGCUGCUUCCGAAACUGCUGUGCUAGAGUGCGGGAGAGGCGCGUGGAAUUGCAGGUGUAGCGGUGAAAUGCGUAGAUAUCUGCAGGAACACCCGUGGCGAAAGCGGCGCGCUGGACCGUUACUGACGCUGAGGAACGAAAGCUAGGGGAGCAAACAGGAUUAGAUACCCUGGUAGUCCUAG